rnacentral:rRNA from 1 species
UGGGGAAUAUUGCACAAUGGAGGGAACUCUGAUGCAGCGACGCCGCGUGAGUGAUGAAGGACUUCGUUUCGUAAAACUCUGUUCUAUGGGAAGAAAAGGACUGUACCAUAGGAGAAAGCUCCGGCUAAAUACGUGCCAGCAGCCGCGGUAAUACGUAUGGAGCGAGCGUUGUCCGGAAUUAUUGGGCGUAAAGGGUGCGCAGGCGGCUUUACAAGUUGGAUGUGAAAUAUUGUGGCUCAACCACAAACGUGCAUCCAAAACUGCAAAGCUUGAGUUAAGCAGAGAUAAGUGGAAUUCCUGGUGUAGCGGUGGAAUGCGUAGAUAUCAGGAGGAAUACCUGUGACGAAGGCUCCUUACUGGACUUAAACUGACGCUAAGGCACGCAAGCGUGGGUCGCAAACAGG